GACGAACGCUGGCGGCGUGCUUAACACAUGCAAGUCGAACGGAAAGGCCCUGCUUUUGUGGGGUGCUCGAGUGGCGAACGGGUGAGUAACACGUGAGUAACCUGCCCUUGACUUUGGGAUAACUUCAGGAAACUGGGGCUAAUACCGGAUAGGAGCUCCUGCUGCAUGGUGGGGGUUGGAAAGUUUCGGCGGUUGGGGAUGGACUCGCGGCUUAUCAGCUUGUUGGUGGGGUAGUGGCUUACCAAGGCUUUGACGGGUAGCCGGCCUGAGAGGGUGACCGGCCACAGUGGGACUGAGAUACGGGCCAGACUCCUACGGGAGGCAGCAGUGGGGAAUAUUGCACAAUGGGCGGAAGCCUGAUGCAGCAACGCCGCGUGCGGGAUGACGGCCUUCGGGGUGUAAACCGCUUUCGCCUGUGACGAAGCGUGAGUGACGGUAAUGGGUAAAGAAGCACCGGCUAACUACGUG
rnacentral:rRNA from 1 species